rnacentral:rRNA from 1 species
UACGUAGGGUGCAAGCGUUAUCCGGAUUUACUGGGUGUAAAGGGCGAGUAGACGGCAUAGCAAGUCAGAUGUGAAAUUUCAGUGCUCAACAUUGAAACUGCAUCUGAAACUGUUAAGCUAGAGUGCAGGAGAGGAAAACGGAAUUCCUAGUGUAGCGGUGAAAUGCGUAGAUAUUAGGAGGAACACCAGUGGCGAAGGCGGUUUUCUGGACUGUAACUGACGUUGAGGAGCGAAAGUGUGGGGAGCAAAC